rnacentral:rRNA from 1 species
GGUCCAUUAGAGGAAGUAAAAGUCGUAACAAGGUUUCCGUAGGUGAACCUGCGGAAGGAUCAUUACUGAGCUGUCGACACGAGCUGUUGCUGGUCCUCAAACUAGGGGGCAUGUGCACGCUCUGUUCACACAUCCACUCACACCUGUGCACCCUCUGUAGUUCUAUGGUUGGGAGGAUGCACCGUCCUCCUGCUGUGGUUCUAUGUUUUUACACAUACACCUUAGUGAAGUUUUAUGGAAUGUGCACCGCGUUUAACGCAAUACAAUACAACUUUCAGCAACGGAUCUCUUGGCUCUCGCAUCGAUGAAGAACGCAGCGAAAUGCGAUAAGUAAUGUGAAUUGCAGAAUUCAGUGAAUCAUCGAAUCUUUGAACGCACCUUGCGCCCCUUGGGUAUUCCGAGGGGCAUGCCUGUUUGAGUAUCAUGAACACCUCAACUCCUCACGGUUUGCCGUGAUGAGCUUGGACUUUUGGAGGUUUUGCUGGCCUUUGGUCAGCUCCUCUCAAAUCGAUCAGCUCACCAGUGUUUGGUGACGUCACGGGUGUGAUAACUAUCUACGCUUGUGGCUGUCUGCCAGAUAACCUUCAGCAAUGGGGGUUCACUGGAGCUCACAAAAGUCUUUCCUCAGUGAAGACAGCUUUUUGAACGUUCGAUCUCAAAUCAGGUAGGAUUACCCGCUGAACUUAAGCAUAU